CGUUUGUGAAAAUAUACAACAGUGUUGCAUAUUCGGGUGUCGAAAUAUUGGGAAACAUCGUUUUCCAAAAGAUAAAAAACUUCGAAAACUAUUGGAAACCGCCACACGCUGUAAAAAUUUCGAUCUAGUAAAUGGUCAAAAAUAUGCUCUGAACGCUUCACACCUGAAGUAAAAACUUAUGAAAAUAUGGAUUUCAUACAGGACCAGUUAACUGCCCUUCAGUUUUCUCAUGGUCUAAAAUUGAAGUCUUAAAAGUAUACUCGAUGUGUGUGUAAAAAUGAUUUUACUAUACAUUAGGUAUUAGUUAGGUAGGUACAUUUUUUUUUGGUAUUGCAUAGCUAAUAAAAUGGUCUCGAUUGGAUGAUAAACACCCAGUGUUGCCAGUCAACAGAAGAAGUAUAUAAGGAAUAAUUCAACAGUACUGUAUGGUACAAACUGUUACAAAGUACAACUAACAACAAACAAGAUAUCUCCAUGGAUUUAGUAAGUACUACGGAGUAAUUUCAAGGAUAUCUCUGACGACAGUAGGUACCUACCCGACUUGUUGGCAAAAUUACAUUCUUCUAAAAAACCUUGUUUUUGAAGUAGAUUAUGUAAAAAGUAUAACAUAGGUACCCAUGUAUGCUUCAAACUUUUAUGUGACUCCUAGCAUUUUUUGAAUAUAUUUUUUAGGAUUAUCCUAGCUGUUGAUAAAAGUAAAAGAAAACACAAA